AGGUCCAGCUGGAUCCUCUGCAGCUGAAGCACUUGCUGCUGGUGGCAUAGAGACCUUCCUCUUCGAACGCAGCCCCUCUACUGCCAAACCCUGUGGUGGAGCAAUCCCACUUUGUAUGUUAGAUGAGUUCCCCAUCCCUCCUCACCUCAUUGACCGCAAAGUCACCCGCAUGAAGAUAAUAUCUCCGUCGAAUCUGGCUGUUGAUUUUGGUAAAACUCUGAAGCCCCAUGAGUUCAUCUCCAUGCUCCGCCGAGAAGUGCUUGAUGACUUUCUACGCCGCUGUGCUGAGUCUUGUGGCGCCACACUUAUCCAAGGACUUGUCACAAAUGUGGUGGUUCCCCUAACAAACAGCUCUUCAUAUGUUAUUCAAUAUAAUAAGAAUAAUUCACAGAAAUCUCUUGCUGUUGAUGUUGUUAUUGGCGCUGAAGGAGCCAGCAGUAAGGUGGCUAAGGCCAUAAAAGCAGGAGAUUACACUUGUGCUAUUGUUUUUCAAGAAAGGAUUAAGUUGCCUGAGGAGAAAAUGGAAUAUUAUGAAAAUUUGGCUGAAAUGUAUGUUGGAAAUGAUGUCUCACCUGAUUUUUAUGCGUGGGUUUUCCCCAAGUGCGAUCAUGUGGCAGUGGGAACGGGGCCACUAUGCUCAAAAAAGGAUAUCAAGAUGCUUCAGCAUGGCAUAAGAGCAAAAGUUACGCCAAAAACUCAUGGCGGUCAAGUAACUAAAGUUGAGGCUCAUCCAAUCCCUAGGCAUCCACGUCCAGUUAGAGUCAGGGGAAGAGUGACUCUGGUGGGGGAUGCAGCAGGAUAUGUGACGAAAUGUUCUGGUGAGGGAAUUUACUUUGCUGCCAAGAGUGGAAGGAUGUGCGGGGAAGCAAUUGUUACAGCAUCAGAGGGAGGUGAAAGAAUGGUUAGUGAAGAUGAUUUAAAGAGGGAGUAUUUGAAGAAGUGGGAUGAGAAGUAUUUAACUACAUUCAGGUUUUUGGAUUUGUUGUAAGGGGUGUUUUAUGGUACCAAUGCUGCUAGGGAGGCAUUAGUGGAGUUGAGUGGGGAUGAAUACGUACAGAGGAUGACAUUUGAGAGCUAUCUGUAUAAGAAGUUGGCCCAGGGAAAUAGAUGGGAUGACAUUAAGAUGGUCAUGAAUACAAUUGGGAGUCUAAUUAGGUGUGAUAUUGUAGGCAGAGGGAUUGAAAUGUUUGACAAACGAGUUCUUGCACGGUUGUAGUGUAUCAGGGAACUAGUUAAAAUGAAAGGGAAUGAAAUGAAACUUCAUCAGUACUUCCCAGAGAAGUACAGAUCCAGGAAGUUUUAGCUUUAAAUCACCUAAAAACCUUUUGGUAUGAACAAAUGGUUGUGCUAUUACUCUAUUUCAGUUCUUCGUUAAGCAGCUUCAAAUUGUUGUUUCCAAGAAAAUCUUAGCUGCUGUGGUAAAUUUAGCCUUUCAUCAUUGCCUUAAGUAUCAUCCUGUGAAGUAAUGAAUAAUUAAGAACUUGAUUGUAUUAUUAUAACUUCUGGGUGAAUAAAUACAGCUUUACAGAGGUGAAACCUUUAAGCAAGCUAUACCUUUUCAGCAAAGCUUCAAAUUUGAAUUAACAGUUUCCUACCAUACACACUAUUUACCUUGUUUCUAACAUUAUAGCCCAGUCGAGCUAAGAGUUUCUUACCCACUUUGUACCUCGAUUCUAACAUUAGCCAGCUCCUGUUUAUGCCUCUAUUGAUACCACAAUUUAUUUGUACAACUCAUUUGCUAUAUGCAUAGAGUUCAAGUGUAUCAAGAGAAAAUCAGAUCCCAUUUUCACACCAUUCUGUACCCAUCCUUUCUUGGCCCCUUGGCCACAACCAAUUUCUUUCUUCAUGUAGUGCACGUUGUGUUUGAAUCAUUUGCGACAAAGGUUUUGAAAAUAAAGAAAAUCCAAGUGCCUAGUGAUGAAUAGUAAUUAGAGCAGUACAAGGGUUAAAGCUUGAUAUAUUUCCACAUAUAAUAGGACCCAAAUAACAACCUAAUAGUUGAAUAGGUGGCCAAUCAUCCCUCUUGGUUAUAAGCAUAGAGGAUAUUGGCUCUGAUUUAACAGAUGUGGUUUGCAGAACUUGGAGGAAUAUGUGCUUUGCUGCUUGUGUUAUGCAGCAUUUCUGGGACAUCAUUUAGUCAAGGGAGAAGAUUUUGAAAGCAAUGCAAAGCAGAGAUAGAGUUGAGGAUUGAAAAGAAUGAACAGGAGAAGAACGUGCAUGAAAAACAUAGGCAGGGGGGAGGGGGACAAGCCAUGGUAAGCCCCUUAAUUAUGACGGAGAAAAGACAAAUAUGCAGAGAGGAAAUUACAGAAUAUUAAGGAAAAGAAUUCACCUUAUACUUGGAAUCUCUCCUGAUGAAGUGCAUAAGAUACUAUAUUAUAGGCCAAAGAAGUUAAUUCUUAAAAAUGCAGACAACCAAAGCUCCAAAAUAGAAUGAAAAAGUCAGGUUAUGAUGCUAAGUGCUAACUAGCCUCUUUGAUAGUAAUAACUAUUAAUAUAUUAGGAAUAGAACUAUGUAUGUUUACACAUACACAUACAAUACGGCCUUCAUCCCACACUUGUCUCUGAGACUCAUACCUGACUCCACCCAAAGUGCCCUUAGCUAAAGGUUUUCUCAAAAGAUUAAUGUUUCUUCUAAAUGUGUUUCAAUCUAAUAACUAACAUGGUCCUAAUUGAUUGGGCAGAAAACAAUCACAAGCAUAAAAUGUAAUUAUCCUACUCAUGUGAGGGUUAGCAUUUUUUUCUUUUCAGAGACCUUAUCCAACAUUACUCCCCCAAUUCAAAGAGUUUCAGACUCUCUUGCAAGUAUUCAUGCACUAUUAAGCUGCAUCUGUAUAUUAGCAUAACACCAGAGAAGCCUAAGCAGUAUGUCUCUCAUAAUCAUGGUUCGCCAACUCGGCCGAGUCCGAGACGACUCGGCCGAGUCAUAACCGGAACAGUCCCUACUGUUCCGAUACCGAUACCCGAAACGUCGAUUAUAUCAUAUCCGAUGUGAAUCGCUCCGAAUCAGUCGAUAUUGUCCGAGUUAGAACCGUGUAGAAAGAUAUCGGUCAAAUUCUCGGAUUCGACUCGGAUAUUGUCCAAUUUCUCACGCUUUCUUGUUUUCUUUUUCAGCCACAAAGACAAGAUUUAGGAGAAAGGGAAGAUAAGGGGAGAAACAUACCGUCAAUUUCUGGGUGCCUUUUGCAGAGAGGGAAUAUCUUCAGAUUAGCAGAGAGGGAAGGAAGGAGACAACAGAGGGUGACCAUGGUUAUUUGGAGAAGCGAGUUCUUUCUUCAUCGUCCUUCCAGUGAAGGAAGGAGAGGAGAAAAACAGAGGGUGAAGGCAGAGGGAAGGAGACAACAGAGGGAAAGGGAAAGCGAAAGAAAGAAUGAAGGUGACGGCUGGCUAAUCUGGAGCUGAAGCUUCAAUUUCUUCGUCAUUUGUACUGGGCGAAGGGGUCUUCAAUCUGGCUGUGAAAGGGAAAUUACCAAGCUAAGGGACGGCUAAAUCUGAGAGGAACAACACUAGUGAAGUCAGAUUGCUACUUUGAUGGUUUGAUUCCCAAUCUCACUCGGAGGAAUCGAGAGCAUCUCAAUUCUUUUGGCAGUAAGUUUACACGGAGUUGUUUCAGCAUAUGAAAGGAGCCUAAUGACAGAGCUUUGAGAGAGCGGCAACCAUUUAAUAAUCCCAAAGACACCAGGCUCCCACUUUGCCAGGUUUCACUCUCUAAUUCCACAUUGCGGCAACUGUCACAUAUUUGGUGGAGAAGCUGGGCUUUUGUACCAGACCCAGAGACAGGGAAAAAAAUAGAAGGAAAAAUUAGAAGCACUUAAAUUUCAAGUUUGGCCUAAGUUCAAGUCUGCAUCUUCUUUCAAAAUAACUUAUCAAUUUUAAUUUUUUUAAUUUAGUAUUCAGAUGUGAUAUUUAAAUAUUUGUAAAUUUAUGUAAUGCAUUUUGACAAUUUUUACAUAUUAUUAAGUAUAUGAUUAAUUUGUAUUAGUAGUCUCUUAUCUAAAUUUUAGUUAGAAAAUAUAUAGUGAUUAUUUGGAUACAUUUUAAUGAUCAUAAAUAUAAUUUAUUUAUUUUCAAGUAUCUCAAUUAUGUUGGUUAAAAUGAUUUUAGGUAAAUUAAUUAGAAAAAGGCAAAUUUGAUAAUUUUAGGUAAUAUAUAGUAGGUAUUUAGUAAAUUUAAUUUGAUAUUUGUGUUUUUAA
rnacentral:lncRNA from 1 species